AGCAGUCGCCACGGGAAUACAGAGGGUGCGAGCGUUAAUCGGAUUUACUGGGCGUAAAGCGUGCGUAGGCGGCUUUUUAAGUCGGAUGUGAAAUCCCUGAGCUUAACUUAGGAAUUGCAUUCGAUACUGGGAAGCUAGAGUAUGGGAGAGGAUGGUAGAAUUCCAGGUGUAGCGGUGAAAUGCGUAGAGAUCUGGAGGAAUACCGAUGGCGAAGGCAGCCAUCUGGCCUAAUACUGACGCUGAGGUACGAAAGCAUGGGGAGCAAACAGGAUUAGAGACCCGAGUAGUCCCUGUCUCUUAUAC
rnacentral:rRNA from 1 species